AAGGCAUAGUAGGAGUUAGGACGAAAGAGAAACAAUCCGACCCGAAAGAGAAACACACCGCGAAAGAUAAGGUAAGCAAGCAAUAACUAACUAACAAUGCCGUUACCAGCAGCUACAGUUUCGGCUCUCAACUCUUUCUCAUCUAUCGCCACCGCGCAAUUUUCCCUCCCUCCAAAACGAAACCUUCCCCUUUCCUCUUCUCACAUUUUCUCUCGCAGAGACAUAGCGUUACUUUCAUUCUUUUCUCUUUCCGCACCUGCCUCCGCCAUCGACAUUGGCAUCUCAGGACCAAAGGAUUGGUUAAGAGAGCAAAAGAAGAAAUCCUCCAAGUUUCUACUUGCUCCUGUCGAUGCCUCUCGUGAAAGCCUUCGCUCUGUUUAUCUUUAUCUCACGGAAACUGGUGCUACUUAUACAGAUGAAGAUUUGCAGAAAUUUCAGCAGCUAUUCAGAUCUGCUGCCAGGGAUUGUGUCCCAGAGGAUAGGAAUUCUUUCGUCGCUUUCCAAGCUAACACCGGAGUUGAGGUGUGCACGUUUCGUUUGAUUGUGAAGAAUGCAGCCUCCUUGCUUGGAAAGAAGGAUCCUGUGAAGUUAGAAGCUGAAGCUUUGCUAGAGAAUCUUAUAAGAUCAUUCGCCUCUAUCAGUGGACUGGCAAAUGAAACCAACAUUGAACUUGCAUCAGAUAGGAGCAAAAUAGCAGAUGCUGUAUCGGAUACAAUAUUAUCUCUCGACAAAUUUGAGCAAGGAAUUAGGGAUUGCCUCGAAAUCUGAGUGUAAACAACCUGUUCAACUUUUUGAAGUGGAAGUUUGAUUUUGAAAAUGUCAUUUAAAACUUUGAUCGGGUGAACCAGAAGCUUCCACCAAGUACAAGCGACAGCAUGGUGUUCCGUCAUCUGGAUUGGUUUGUAAUGACCUGGGCAAGCUGCGGAGCUUGUUGAAGAGAUUUAACGGAUCAUUCAAGAGGCCGAAAUGGGCAUCUGGGUCUCCAAUUUGUGAAAGUUUUACAUGUGUGAAGCCAAUAGAUGGUAAAAGUUGGUCUGGCCAAUCACUGUAAAAUUGGAAUACUGAAUUGGAUAGCGUGGUUGAUGACUUAUUCAUGAAGUCUGCUAGGAUGACCGUGUGAGUUAAGACACAAUUGUUAGCUAAAAUUCUCAGCAGUUGCAUGGCGUUGGAUUGGGCGAGAUAGUAUAGGAUACCUUCUAGAAUCCAGACCGUGUUCUUCUGUGGUAAGAAACCUGCAAUUUGAAGCUUUUCCAUCCAAUCAUUUUCUCUUAUGUCAGCUGCCACUCUGGUUAAGGAUUUGGCUUUGGACAUAAUAUGUUGUGACUCGUAUGUUGAUUCCUUAGCUGCUUGCAGAAUAGUGCUUUUUACCUCCAAGACUUCUGCAAAGUCAACCUCAAAGACAUCGCUGUCCUUUAAGCAACUCAAACGAUAUGCUCUUGUAUCCAUUCCUGCAUCAAAUUUUGCAAGAAUACAUAUAUAUAUAUUAGCUAGCUGAGAUGACUAUAAUCUUUUCAAGUGCAGAUUGUCAUUGUUUCAUUGUUAGUGAUUACGAUUAGCUGCUGGUCAGACUGGCUGUAAUCCAAAAGGUUCCAAAAUUGUCCUGUCUAAUGAUUGUUUGGGAACUUAGGUGCUCCUGUUUAAAAUGUGCUGUUACAAUUUAGUCGUGUCUAAAAGGCCAUUUUGCCAAAUAUUUGCAUCCCAAAUUGACUAGGAAUAGAAUAAAAAAAGAUAGUAUAAAAGAUAUCUUGUCGUAAAAGGUUUUAAA